UACGGAGGGGGCUAGCGUUGUUCGGAAUUACUGGGCGUAAAGCGCACGUAGGCGGCUUUGUAAGUUAGAGGUGAAAGCCCGGGGCUCAACCCCGGAAUAGCCUUUAAGACUGCAUCGCUUGAACACGGGAGAGGUGAGUGGAAUUCCGAGUGUAGAGGUGAAAUUCGUAGAUAUUCGGAAGAACACCAGUGGCGAAGGCGGCUCACUGGACCGUUGUUGACGCUGAGGAGCGAAAGCAUGGGGGAGCGAACAGG
rnacentral:rRNA from 1 species